CUGUUUUUGUCAAGGGCAGAUAUUGCACUCACUGUUCAAGCUAAUGCAAGGUAAGUUGGCAAUACUUUAUUACAGCACACCUCACAGAUAGAUAGCAAUAAGUAUCCAUUCACAUGUGCAUCGUUUGUUUACUGUAGGUGCCAAAGCAUGAGGUGGUUAUGUAAAAAAUGCAGCUUUCAGUCAAACCGAAGACUACAGCUAUUAAAACACUUAAGGCUCAAACAUGGAAAUGCAGGCCGUCAAUCAUCAAUACCAUGUCUUCAUGCUGAUUGUCCUUGUUCAUUUAAAACAUUUAAUGCCCUUCAGAUACACUUAUCCCGAAACCACAUGGAAUCAGACAAACCAAGCGAGGUGCUGUCAUUUAGGUGUCUAAUAUGCAGUUCAACCCCAUUCUCUUCGGAGAAGCAAUAUUUUGAGCACCUUAGAAGCCAUAUGAGGAGGUACGAGGUAGUGACAUGUGUGUUCAAAAACUGCAACUUCAGUAUAAACAUUUAUUCAACCUUUGCAACUCAUAAACACAGGAAACACAAUACACACUGCAUUGAAGAUUUUAAAACUGAAGUCUUGAAAAAAUACCCAAAUCCUGCUGCUUUUCAAAAUCUAGAGGUCUCUGAUGAUGACAUAGAACUUGAUGAAACUUUGGUUGAUGCAGGAGAGAACUUGCCUGAAGUUGUAAAGAAGAAGUUUGGACAACUUCUUCUAAAGUUGCAAAGUAAUUUCAAUGUGUCAGGCAGGUGUAUUGAUCAAAUUGUAGAUGACCUUCAGUUCCUAUCUUCCUCUGCAUCGGCCCCAGCUUUGAAAGAUGUUGUUGAGUCCACUUUGAAGAAACAUAACUGUGAAGUACAUUCAGCAGUUAUCUCAGAUUUGGUUAAAAAUCUUUGUGAAUCACACCCUUUAAGUUCAGCUCUAGGGAAAGAUGGCCCUUUUUCAACGUCAUUUAAGAGGUCACAAUUCAUGAAAGCAAAUUUUUCAGUCGUUGAACCAGUAGAAUACAUACUACACAAUAAAGACAACAGAACAUUCCAGUAUGUUCCAAUAUUUCAGUCGUUACUGCAAAUCUUGAAGAAUGUAGAGGAAAAAGACUUGUUUAGUCAAAGAAAAUCUGGAUGUGCAUCACAAUACCAGUCCUUCCAAGAUGGAUCUCACUUCUGUAAAAAUGAUUUUUUGGCUGGAGAUGAGGACAGAUUAAGUCUUAUUCUGUAUAUCGAUGACUUCGAAGUGUGCAACCCCUUGGGAACUUCCCGCAAGAUCCAUAAAGUCACUGCCGUUUAUUGGGUGUUAGGAAACUUUCCAGCAAAUGCACGAUCAACACUAGCUUCUAUUAAUUUAGCUAUUCUGUGCAAAGCAGAUGACACAAAGCGAUUUGGAUUUCAGAAAGUUUUAGAUCCCCUCCUACCAGAUCUUCAAAGCUUGGAAAAAGAUGGUGUUUUUAUUCCAAGUUUAGUAAAAAUCAUGAAAGGCACUGUAGUGAGUGUGGUGGCUGAUAAUUUGGGGGCCCAUUCUUUGGGAGGAUUCGUUGAAAACUUUACAGGAUCUAAUGUCUGCAGAUUUUGUCUCGGAGAAAGGUCCCAGUUUCAGACCACAGAAGUAAGAUCUGGACUUUAUCAGAGGAGAAAUAAAGAGCAGCAUACUCUGCAUGUUGAGACGGCUUUGUCAAGUCCCAUUUCCACUCCUUGCUAUGGUGUGAAAAAACAGUGUGCACUGUCUGAAAAACUACAACAUUUUCAUGUAACAUCUGGUUACCCACCAGAUGUGUUACAUGACCUUCUUGAAGGUGUUGUUCCAUUGGAACUGGCAUUGUCAUUUCAAGCCUUCAUCAAGAAGAAAUAUUUUUCUCUUGUGGAGCUCAAUACUUGCAUUCAACAGUUCCCUUAUAAGUGGAGUGACCAAACAAAUCGUCCACAUGUGAUUCCUAUUCAUUUUGCCACAAAAAGAACUGUAGGAGGGAAUGCACAUGAAAAUUGGUCUCUGUUGCGUUUGUUGCCUCUCAUAAUAGGUUUGAAAGUACCUGAGGAUGAUGAAGUAUGGCAGAUGUUAAUGACCUUAAAAGACAUUGUGGAACUUGCGGUGGCCCCAGUUCAUACUGAGCAGAGCAUCUGCUACCUUGGCACUUUAAUAUCUGAGCACCGAAACAGAUUUCUGGAAGUUUUUCCUCAAGAAAAGCUCCUUCCCAAACACCACUUUCUCGAGCACUACCCUGAGCUUAUUCAGGAAUUUGGUCCUUUGGCAGCCCUGUGGACCAUGAGAUUUGAAGCUAAACAUAGCUUUUUCAAAAAAAAUUGUAAGACAAACAGGCUGUUUCAGGAACAUACUGCUGUCCCUUGCAAAAAAACACCAGCUCAUGAUUGCAUUGCAUCUCAAUGAUUCAAAUGUGACAAAGUCAUCACUUUCAGUCACAACAACUUCACAAGUCUCUGUGGAUGUGCUACAGGAUGGCAUAAAAGAUUUGGUCCAACACAGGUAUCCACAUGCCACAGUGGUGCAUGUUGCAAAAAAUGUGCACUUCUCAGGCACCAACUACAAACCAGGGAUGUUGCUAUGUCAUGGUUUCACCGCAGACUUGCCAGACUUUUCUGAGGUGUUACAGAUUAUCUUGGUUUGUAACGAACUGGCCUUCGUUAUCAGACUACUAAGCACAUGGUACAAUGAGCACUUUAGGAGCUAUGAGUUGGAACACACAGGCAACAUUCAGAUACUGAAGCAAAAAGAAAUGGUUGACUACUAUCCUCUGGCUGCAUACACUGUUGCAGGAAGACGACUGACUACCUUAAAGCACUACAUUUCCGCUUCUGUUUAGGUGCAUGAUUAUCAAAGUUAAUAUUGUAUUGAUUUCAUUUUGUAAUGAAUUGUGUUAAUUUAUUUUUUGUAUCUGUUGCAGAUGUGCACCCCAGCAAAGCUGCGAUUAGUUUUUGGAGAGAAUGAUGUUCGCAAAUUGGUUCUGCCCUCAGGCAUCCCCAGUACUCUACAUGACCUCAAAAGUAUAAUCCAAGAAACAUUCAAUAUUCCAGAAUGCUUUACUUUGAUGUAUGAAGACAUGGAAUUUGGGGUAGAGUUGCCGCGGUGACGUAAUUUUCCCACCGGUUAAUCAGCGCGUCACAAACUCGGUGAUCCCGGUAUCACCGAGUGGGAGGGGCUUAUAAAUGCGCAUGCAGACGUGCACAUUUUUCUUUCACUUUUGAAUUACGCAACUGUUUAAAUGCAUCGCUUGCGUAAGCUGCGUUAAAUCGCCUAUGAAUUUGCGUGCAAUGUGAGUGCAACAGCUGGUUUACUUAAGUGCUUGAGUCAAUGUGCGCAGGUAAUUCCUUACAGAACCCGCCAGUCCCAAGCAGAGCAACCCGCUACUUCUCCAUAAAAGCGCUGCUUGAAUGAUGGGUUUAAUAUUUUUCUUGAUGAAAAACACAACAACAAAACGAUCUCGCUUAUAUUAAACAUCAUAUAUGUAUAUUAUAACAAAAACGAGCAAAGCAUGCGGCUUCUGUCAUCAUCUGGUCAGUCAGCUCCCCUUGCAAACUCUGACAGAAAUAAAUGAAAUCUGACACCUGCGGCUGCUCUGUGACGUGACGCGCGUUCAGCCCCGCUGAAUUCAGACAACAGACAGUUGUAAGUGUUUGCUCUCUCUAACGAAACUAAAUGAUUUAAUUACACGAAAAUAUCAAAAAGACGGUGUCGCGGUGGGCAAGUGAUAUAACCGGUGAGAGGCUGAAGCACCGGUUAUCACCGUUUCACCGACUAUCGCGGCAAGCCUAAUUUGGGGGCCAGUUUUUUAAUUUGGACUCCGUAGAUGAUGUGCAGGAUAAAUGUACUCUGAAAGUAGUACAAACUGAACCCAUCACCCUCAAUCUGGUUGUUAUGAAUAGAUCAACUCUACCAACAGAGUCCGAUGCCAGGUCAUGCAGUUCUCAGGACACUGUUGUGCCAACUCCUCUAAGUGACACUUCUUCUGACUCCACAUCCAGCGGAUCUCAGGACACUGUUCUUCUAUCGUCCUCUGAGACUACCACAUCAUGCCGUUCUCAAGGAUGGCCAACAAAGUUUAUAGUACCUAAUUUUUCCUUUGAUACUGAGCUCUUGCUUUCAGAUGGAAACAAAGCCUACCAAAAGGACGGCACCCUCUUGAACAAUCAUAGAGUGACAAGUAGUGUCCUUGAGACACUUGCAGAGAGGAUAUUUCUUUACACUGCAUAUCCAACGGGUGUCCAAAUUAUGAAUGUAGUGGAGAUGUUGAUUGAAAAGUACCCAUGCCUCAAAGAGCCAGGGUCCUUUAAUGGACAAUAUGGAUGGCAGCAAAGGAUUAAAUAUAAAAUGGGAAAUUACCGAGCCAAAUUAAGAGGUAGUCAGCUUUCCUGCCCAGAGCUUGAGGUGAACCAAAAAAGGAAGACAAAUGAAAACUCUACUCCAAAAGGCGUCAAAAGACCUAGAAAGGCUGAAGUAAAUUACUUGCCACCAUUUCCAUUUGGGGAAACAGAAGAAAGUUUAGAGAAGGAGAGGCUAGAUCUCCUUAAUGAAAUUAGGAAAAAAAACAACAAAAACAUAAUUGGUGAGAAAAUGGAGAAGACUUUCUCCUAUCGAAGAAAAGAAGUAGUUAAGUACUGCCCUGCUGUUAAAGAUUUCAUGGAGAGAUGGCCAGCCCUUUUCUGUGAAUCUGAGAUAAAAAAUGAAUUCAGAAGAAUCACCACAAUUUCCUUGGAGCGUACAUUCUUGGAAAAGCUGGACUUCUAUACCCCAAAACUCCUGGCUUUGUUUGAGAUGAAGGGUGGGGUUGCUGGCAUAAGAAUUAAACAUUUGCUGGAUUCACUCAGCCAGCAAGAAGAUAGGCUUGAAGAUAGGCGAGAUGCUGUGAUUCGCUGCCUCCUGUCCUUCCUGGGAGAAUCAGCUGAGGAGCUCAUUGAAGACCACCAGGAUAUCAGCAGAGACGUGAUUAAGGAUACCUUCUCCAGUCAUGUCAUGAAAAUCAUUGUACUCAGCAGGUCUGUGGAAGAAGAUGCCAGUAUGUUUGAUGUCAUCAUUGUCAUCGAGGGAACAGAGGUGCUGCUGGGAUGUAAAAAUCUCACAAAUGCUUGUCUUUCACUCAUGGGCUGCAUUUACUCCCUAAACUUAAGCUAUCCCCCAAAGCUGAGAAACACAUUUGAAGUGUUUCAGAAAAUCUUUCUUGGGCUAGAUGCUUUUAAAUUUUCUCCAAAGGUUAACUCUUUGCAUAGAAAGCUUCUAAUGUAAUUUGCUAGUUGGGCACUACUUGCACUUAUUGUACUGUUUUUGUUUUUGUUUGUUUGUUUUUUACAAGAAAGAUUGUUCAAAAAAACAACUUCAACUGCAGUACUAUUUUACAUUCUUAUGCCAUUCUUGCCAUUCUUAUGCAUUUUAAGUAAUGCAAUUCUGCUGGAGACCAUAGAGUUUUACUAUUAUUUUAUUUGAUGUUUUUGUUCCUUUAGUUUAAUCUUAUUAAAAUUAAAGUACGCUGAAAGGCAGCUACUAGUUUGACAUUAUUUGCACUUUUUCACUUUUUUUGUUUUUGAUGUCUGCAACUGAGGUUGUUGUAAAUUGUUUGUUUUAUAUGUUUAUAGAAAGGUUUUAUAUCUUUAAAUGUUUAUGCAUUUUAAUGGACUGUGUGGUUGUUCUAAAAAUAGUUUACUGGAGUAAAAUGCACUAUAGUGCACCAUUUACCAGAACCAUACAACCGAUGGAGUUUUAAUAUUUGUUUUAUGUCAUGUUCCCAUCUUUAAGGAAUCUUAAAAAAAUAAAAGUAUUCAAGUAAAAUGUAUGUCAGUGUUAUUUUAUUGAACACCAUUUAAAUACAUAAACAAGUAAUGUUAAAAUAAUAUUUAAAGUAAAGGUUACUCAAAACUUUAAAUAAUAAAACUAGGAUCAUUGUGUAAAAAAAUUAAUUUAUAAGCAUUACUUAAGUAAAAUAUAUAAACAAACAGUCAAUACAAUUUACUGGGAAAUUCCAAGAAAACUUUACUUGAGAUUUUCUAAUUAAAGCUACAGUUCCUUGUGUUUAGUUUUUACUUGGAAAUUCUAUUGAAAUUACUCACAUUUUCUAAGUGAAAAAACUUUCCUAACUUUUUUCAAGUAAAUUGUACUCCAAAUUUUUUCAGUGUACAUUUGGCAGUCCUUGCAGUACAGUUGCUAACAUUUUCUGAAAUGCAGAGGGGGCUGAAGCUAGGCCAUAUGGUACAUGACAGAAUCUAAAUAAUCCCUCAUGGGUGAUAAAUGCAGUCAAGUCACGGCUUUCUUCAUGUAACAAAAGCUGAAAAUAAGCAUUCUCCAAAUCAAUUGUAGAAAAGACAGUUGCUCCACGCAGCAUAGACAUCAACUCAUCAAUAUGAGGCAAAGGAUAACUGUCUGCAACAACAGCUUUGUUUGUUUC